rnacentral:lncRNA from 1 species
AGAACAACAAGCCUACACUUCUGUUUUGGAAUUUGUAGGAAAUCAAUUUGGAGAAACAAAGGGCAGAAUAUACAACAUAUACCCACCAUCUCUAGUCCCCAAAGUACGUACAUAAAUUCCAUGCCACUUGAUAUCUAAGUAUGUUUACAUCAAUUGAUGUUCAGUGCGUGACAUUAAGGUGAGAAUACUAGGUUCUCUCUCCCAUGG